rnacentral:rRNA from 1 species
UGCCAGCCGCCGCGGUAAUACGGAGGGGGCUAGCGUUGUUCGGAAUUAUUGGGCGUAAAGGGCGCGUAGGCGGCUAGGCAAGUCGGAGGUGAAAUCCCUCGGCUCAACCGAGGAAUUGCCCCCGAUACUGCCUGGCUUGAGUCCUGGAGAGGGUAGUGGAAUUCCCAGUGUAGCGGUGAAAUGCGUAGAUAUUGGGAGGAACACCAGUGGCGAAGGCGACUACCUGGACAGGUACUGACGCUGAGGCGCGAAAGCGUGGGUAGCAAACAGGAUUAGAUA